CACACCGCCCGUCACACCAUGGGAGUGGGCUGCACCAGAAGUAGAUAGCUUAACCUUCGGGAGGGCGUUUACCACGGUGUGGUUCAUGACUGGGGUGAAGUCGUAACAAGGUAGCCCUAGGGGAACCUGGGGCUGGAUCACCUCCUUACUGA
rnacentral:rRNA from 1 species